GUACUCUCACACUCUCCGAUCCUUUGGAUUUGGGGAGCGGUGGACUUGGGUGCUUGCUGCUUUCCUUGUGGCUCACCUCAAAUGCGUCAGUGCAUCUCUUGAUUGGACAUAGUACGGCGUGAUAAGUGUCUUCGCCGGCACCUCGUAAGAGGGUGGUCGAUCGGGAGCUCUGUGCUUUCAAACCGUCUUCGGACAAUCCCUGACA
rnacentral:misc_RNA from 1 species